rnacentral:rRNA from 1 species
UACGUAGGGGGCAAGCGUUUGUCCGGAAUUAUUGGGCGUAAAGAGCUCGUAGGUGGCGUGUCGCGUCUGCCGUGAAAGCCCAUGGCUUAACUGUGGGUCUGCGGUGGAUACGGGCAGGCUGGAGGCUGGUAGGGGCAAGCGGAAUUCCUGGUGUAGCGGUGAAAUGCGCAGAUAUCAGGAGGAACACCGGUGGCGAAGGCGGCUUGCUGGGCCAGUUCUGACGCUGAGGAGCGAAAGCGUGGGGAGCGAACAGG